CUGGUCGCCUGGCUCGCGGGCUGGAUCCGAAAAGGCGCCGUCCCCGUGGCGACCAUGAACAUGCAGCUGGCUGUUCCCGACGGCGAGGAGGUUCCCGACGCCUGGCACCAUCAGCUCAUAUUCGGAGUCGCGCCUAAUGCUGUUUUUAUGACCAACCCUUUAGAUUAAGCGAGGCGGAGGUGCACCAGCGACUCUGCAGUGAAUCUGUGCUGCUGAUUCGUCGAGAAGACGUGAUGCAGCGAUUAACACCUGACUGCUGUCUGACCGACCUCUCCGAGAGUCAGUCGGACCCUCGGUGGAAAGCUCUGGAUGUUGAAGGUCAAGUGAGGCAGAUGACUCAAGAAGAACAGGAAUCGGAUCGACCCAAGUUGACGCACAUUACAAUCCCUGCAGCGUACAGUUCAGGCGUCACGCUCUUCGCCUUACGACAGUCAGAGUUGGGACAAGAACUCCUCGGUGCUCCUGAUCUUCCUUUGUUGUGAAGCACUGCCACACAUGGAACUGAGACUUGAAGCUAGAAGACUUAUGAUAAAAGAAAUGAAACUUCACUGGAAUCAGCAGAUAUUAAUCCAAGCUCACACUGAAGAGCAGUGAAGCAGGAUGAAAACACAUCAACCGCAACACAGUGGAACAAUACAGACAGUGGCUGCCUAAUGAUCUGUCACGACUUUGAGAAGCUGUUCAUUUUUAUGUACCAGCACUGAUAUAGAAUCAUAUUUUAAGCCAUAAAUGAAUUUGUC
ensembl:lncRNA